GAAACUUCCCAGUUGAUUAUUUACAUUAAGAGAUUUUUUUGUAUUACAGGUUUUCUGAACUUUCAUGUUUAUUAUGCAAAUGAGACAUUAUGUUAUUAAAUAUGUGCUUAUUUGCAUAAAUAAAGAUGUUUUGGGAUUUCUAACUU